rnacentral:rRNA from 1 species
UGCGUAGGUGGUGGGGUAAGUCUCGUGUGAAAGCUCGCGGCUCAACCGCGAAAAGUCACGGGAUACUAUUUUGCUGGAGGGUUGGGAGGGGGGACUGUAAUUCUCGGUGUAGCAGUGAAAUGCGUAGAUAUCGAGAGGAACACCAGUGGCGAAGGCGAGUCCCUGGACAACACCUGACACUGAGGCACGAAAGCUGGGAGCAAACA